ACUAUCUCUCCUCUCUCUACUAUCUCUCCUCUCUCUACAUCUCCUUCUCUCCAUUCUCUCCCUUCCCUUUUUCUCUGCACUCGAUUCCUUUGCUUUUUCUAUUCUCUCCUAGGGUUUUGAUUAUUUUUGGUGGUUCUUAUCUUCCACUAAUGAAACGCAUAAAAUAAUAACCAAGAUUGAUCACUUCUCAUAUAUUUUUACAAAUAAAUCGAUAUUUUCUCAUUCUUUAUCUGUCUGUUGCUUUACUUUUGUAGUUGUUCGCGUAUGUGUAUGGCUACAGGAUUAGAUUUAAGCUCAGCAAGUCAAUUAGUCCAUCACCAGCUGCAGCGGAGCGCUCAGGAGCUACACCUCCAACCGAGCUCCGAAGGCAAUCACAGGGAAACCCUAGCCUUGGCGGAGCUCCCGAGCAACCCAGAUGAUCACCAGGCUGGCAACCCUAGUCCGGGAGAUGGGGUUGUUAGGAGGCCGAGGGGCCGCCCGCCUGGCUCUAAGAACAAGCCCAAGCCCCCUGUGGUCGUGAUCCGUGAGAGCGCCAACAUCCUCCAGGCUCACAUCCUUGAGGUGAGUAGUGGGUGCGACGUGUUCGAGUCUGUGGCCGCCUAUGCCCAAAGGCAGCAACGGGGGAUAUGCAUACUCAGUGGGAGCGGCACCGUCACAAAUGUUAGCCUCCGCCAACCAGCAGCAGCCGGGUCGGUGGCGACUCUGCAGGGUCGAUUUGAGAUACUUUCAUUGACAGGGUCGUUCCUGCCACCACCAGCACCACCUGGGGCCACCAGCUUGACCAUAUACCUGACAGGGUCCCAGGGCCAAGUUGUGGGGGGCAACGUCGUUGGUGCACUCAUUGCAUCCGGGCCAGUAAUUGUGAUCGCAUCUUCCUUCACCAACGUGGCGUAUGAGAGGCUGCCGCUCGAUGAGGAUGAGCCACCAGUUGAGAUGCAACAAAGUGGGGGGCAGUUUCCCUCUGAUCCGGCUUCUUCAGGCAGUCUUCCGUUCUUGAGCAUGCCAUUGCAUCAGUUACCCGUGGAUGGAUGGCCUGGGAACUCGACCAGCCGAGGAAGGCAAGGUUAUUGACAUACCUUGAUCCUGAUCGAUCUAUAUGAUAUUCAUCUGGACAGACUGGAAAAGGUAUCUUGUGCAGAGAAACUUUCUGGCAAGAAAACUUUCUACAUAAACCAAGAGCACGGUGAUCUGGAGCUGCAUGGGUUUUCUCCUGAGAAGAAAGGGCUCCUAAUAAAAGGAGUUCUAUAACAGGAUCGUCCUUGAUAUGAGACCAAUAUGUUCUGAGUUCGAUUUUCAUUUAAACAAACUUCCGGCCAUUAUUUCCUCCUUCCUCUUUCUACUUGCGUGAAUCUCCAGUAUAAAGAAUAAAGGUAAGGAUGACCAUUGGGGAAAAAAAGGCUGGUUCGUGGUGUUAGAUCCUCCUUCACUAUGAUCAAUGUGGGACUACAGGUAUCAUGAAAAACCAGCACCACAAUUUCAGUUUUUAAAUUUCAAUAACUUGUUUUCUACCCCCGGUGUGUUUGGUCGGCUCGAUAUGAGAUGGUAUAGAAUUUCUCUAAUCCUUAUCCACCAUUUGAUGAUUUUGCCAGGAUAAAAUAUUUGGGAGGAUUAGAUAAGAUAUUGCUUAGGGAAUAGAUUACAACUGAAUUAGGAUAUUGUAUUGAGCGAAAUGAUAACACUAUUCCUCCCAUUAAAUAUUCAUUUUGGACAUUUUCAACUAAAUAAUUAUUUCCUGAACAUGAAAAUAUUUUUCAGAAAAUUUCUGCUCAUAAAAUGUUCCUAAUAUCUUCAAAAGGGGUGAAAAUAAAAUUUUUCACGAAGUUUCGGCACUGAAGUACGAUUAAAUCAGGCCAAAGUAGUUCAGUUCGAAUUAGUUCAACUCCGUUCCAUCAUUUGGAAAUAUUAAGGAUGGCUGGCGUGGGAGGGAACAACGCCGCAUGGAUGACAUCCAAGCGUCAUCCAAGCGACCGUGGAUAAGACCUUCAAAGUCUUGAGGGACUUAGGGCCAUUUUUUAGAUUUUUUUUUUGUUUCGGGCCUUAAGCUCAAUUUUGUAGGUCCACUUAGCCAAUUGGAUUGUCUUGGCUCAAUGAGGCCCAUUGAAGGCCCAUGGCGAAUGAAUGAAUGUGACAAAGGGGAAUGGAUGAUGUAUUGAUGAAUGGAAUGGAUGAAUGUACAUGUAUAUAUGUAUGGAUGGAUGA